rnacentral:tRNA from 1 species
AGUAAAGUCAGCUAACUAAGCUCUUGGGCUCAUGCCCCAAACAUGUGGAGUCAAACCCACCUUUACUA